CAGAAAAUAGUUUAGUUUAGAAUCCUAGCUUUGGGAGUUAGGGGUGGGAGUUA
rnacentral:tRNA from 1 species